rnacentral:lncRNA from 1 species
UAAUUUCAUUGUGUAUUGCAGUUUUAACGAAGUGUCACAUUUGUUUUGCGCUGUACAUAAGUUUUCGAAAAUGUAAAAAUGUUCAACCCUGCCAUAUUCUGUAUGUGUGUGUACAAUGUCAGGAGCCUUUAGUUCAGUAGUUGUCGUUUGUUGCUGUAUAUCAUAUUUGUUCUUCGUUUAUUGUUUUGUAUUACAUUUAGC